rnacentral:lncRNA from 1 species
GAUGGUGAGAGCCAGCCCGGAGAGAUGCAGUUCUUGCCCUUGAGUCCAUUGGCUUAACUCUGAAAGGCGACCUGGAGCAACGGUACCAUUCCUCGGGCAAUCAUCUCCUGCAUCCUGCCCUCCUCACAGACCCUAGGACACUGCAGAUCCCUAGGACACUGCAGAUCCCUGAACACCUUGGGGGCCACCAACAAGGGAGGAAAUGACAUGGGAAGAAUGUCGAUGCACAUGUUCGUCCACUGUUCCUCCCACCUCCGGUCCUCAUCACGCAGAGCGGACCCUGUGGUCCACGACUGGCAUCUGGGCUCUGCUUUCCCAUUGCAGAGACCCCUGUGAGCACCCGCCACGCCCAGGCCCUGUGCAGCACUCUGAUGUGUAACAGGAAAGGCAGGCAGAGUCCCUGCUCUCAAGGACUCACCUUUAAGGACUGCAUGGGAGACAGACAACAAAAUUAAAAAUAGAGAACAAAAUAGAUGGCAGAGUGCAACGUGCUGUGAUGUCCAUGAGCAGAGGGAAGGAGAGGCACAGAGAGAAAGGGACAGCCGCUUCGUCACAGGCGACCAGAAGCAUUCGUGUGAUGUUCCACAGUUUCUUCAAUCCCAUUUCAUUUUCUUUUUCUUCCAUCAUAUUUAAGCAAAAUUAAAUUUAUUAUGUUGUAGUUGAAAA